ACAUGAAAUAGCAUUUGGCUGCAUUCCAAUCAGUCAACACAUUCAUCACUAGACGCACAAAGAGAGCAGUGAAUUAUUGCAUUUGAAGCAGCAUCCUCUUCUAGAGGGCUUGU
rnacentral:lncRNA from 1 species